rnacentral:rRNA from 1 species
AACGAUCCAAGGAACAUCGUUUUGGGCGCGAGCACCGAUGGAGUCAAUCCGUUUGGCAGCCAGAGAAGCACACAUAGCACCUGGCAUGUGUUUGUGUGGAUGUACAACCUUCCCCCCUGGUUGUGCAUGAAGAGGAAGUACGUUCACAUGAGUAUGCUAAUUGAAGGGCCGAAACAACCAGGGAACGACAUCAAUCUGUAUCUGGGGCUGCUGAAAGAGGAGCUAGACACGCUGUGGAAAACGCCAGCCAAUAUGUGGGACGCCGCAGAGAAAGAAUAUUUCCCUAUGAGAGCCGCACUGCUCACGACAGUGCAGGACUAUCUCGGUUACGGAUAUGUCGCGGGGCAGGUGGUCCACGGAUUUUCUGGAUGCGUCAGGUGCAUGGAUGACACAAUGUAUCGCCAGCUAGAUAGAGAUCUCGGGUCUUCAAAAACUGUGUUCAUGGGACAUCGAAGGUGGCUUCGCGAUGAUGACCCGUGGAGAAAACGCAAGGAUCUGUUCGAUGGUGAAACCGAACCCCGAAGACGCCCGCGUACGAGGAGCGGCGAGGAAAUAGACGAGCUGUUGAAAAAUUGGAAAGAUUGCCCACUACCGGGAAAGAAGCAAAAGGCGCCAGAGCCGGGAAAGAAGCGAAAGGCGCCAGAGCCGCUGCUGAAGGUAUGGAAAACGAGGUCUGUUUUCUAG